rnacentral:rRNA from 1 species
GACGAACGCUGGCGGCGUGCUUAACACAUGCAAGUCGAACGAUGAACCCGGAGCGUGCUCCGGUGGAUUAGUGGCGAACGGGUGAGUAACACGUGAGUAACCUGCCCUUGACUCUGGGAUAACUGCGGGAAACUGUAGCUAAUACCGGAUACGACCCUCGGCGGCAUCGCCAGGGGGCUGAAAGAAUUUCGGUCAAGGAUGGACUCGCGGCCGAUCAGCUAGUUGGUGGGGUAACGGCUCACCAAGGCGACGACGGGUAGCCGGCCUGAGAGGGUGACCGGCCACACUGGGACUGAGACACGGCACAGACUCCUACGGGAGGCAGCAGUGGGGAAUAUUGCACAAUGGGCGCAAGCCUGAUGCAGCAACGCCGCGUGAGGGAUGACGGCCUUCGGGUUGUAAACCUCUUUUAGUAGGGAAGAAGCGAAAGUGACGGUACCUGCAGAAAAAGCACCGGCUAACUACGUGCCAGCCGCCGCAGUAA